rnacentral:rRNA from 1 species
UACAGAGGUCUCAAGCGUUGUUCGGAUUCAUUGGGCGUAAAGGGUGCGUAGGUGGCGGGGUAAGUCUGGUGUGAAAUCCUGGGGCUCAACCCAGGAAGUGCACUCGAAACUGCGAGGCUAGAGUACUGGAGAGGUUGGUGGAAUUCUCGGUGUAGAGGUGAAAUUCGUAGAUAUCGAGAGGAACACCGGUGGCGAAGGCGGCCAACUGGACAGAUACUGACGCUGAGACUCGAAAGCGUGGGGAGCAAACAGG